CCCGCUCCCCCUACCUCCCCCUACCCCGCUCUCCCUACCUACCUCAACCCCGCUCUCCCUACCUCCCUCUACCCCGCCUCCCCUACCACCCUCUACCCCGCUGCCCUACCUCCCUCUACCCCGCCGCCCCUACCUUCCUCUACCCCGCUCCCCCUACCUCCCUCUACCCCGCUCUCCCUACCUACCUCUACCUACCUCCCUCUACCCCGGUCUCCCUACCUCCCUCUACCCCGCUCCCCCUACCUCCCUCUCCCUACCUCGCUCUACCCCGCUCUCCCUACCUCCCUCUACCCCGCUAUCCCUACCUCCCUCUACCUACCUCUCCCUACCCCGCUCUCCCUACCUCCCUCUACCCCGCUCUCCCUACCUAUCUCUACCCCACUCUCCCUACCUACCUCUACCCCGCUCUCCCUACCUACCUCUACCCCGCUCUCCCUACCUCCCUCUACCCCGCUCUCCCUACCCCCCUCUAACCCGCUCUCCCUACCCCCCUCUACCUCCCUCUACCCCGCCUACCCUACCUCCCUCUACCCCGCUCCCCUACCUCCCUCUACCCCGCUCGCCCUACCUCCCUCUACCCCGCUCUCCCUACCUCCCUCUACCCCGCUCCCCCUACCUCCCUCUACCCCGCUCUCCCUACCUCCCUCUACCCCGCUCGCCCUACAUCCCUCUACCCCGCUGUCCCUACCUCCCUCUACCCCGCUCUCCCUACCUCCCUCUACCCCGCUCUCCCUACCUCCCUCUACCUACCUCCCUCUCUCCCUCUACCUACCCCCCUCUACCCCGCUCCCCCUACCUCCCUCUACCCCGCUCUCCCUACCUCCCUCUACCCCGCUCUCCCUACCUCCCUCUAUCCCGCCUCUCCUACCCCGCUCCCCCUACCCCCCUCUACCCCGCUCCCUCUACCGCCCUCUCCCUACCUCCCUCUACCUACCUCCCUCUACCCCGCCUCCCCUACCUCCCUCUACCCCGCUCUCCCUACCUACCUCUACCCCGCUCUCCCUACCUCCCUCUACCCCUGUCCCCCUAACUCCCUCUACCCCGCUCACCCUACCUACCUCUACCCCGCUUCCCCUACCUCCCUCUACCCCGCAUCCCCCUACCUCGCUCCCCCUACCUCCCUCUACCCCGCUCUACCUACCUCCCUCUACCCCGCUCUACCUACCUCCCUCUACCUCCCUCUCCCUACCUCCCUCUCCCUACCUCCCUCUACCCCACUCACCCUCCCUCCCUCUACCCCACUCUCCCUACCUCCCUCUACCCCACUCUCCCUACCUUCCUCUACCCCACUCUCCCUACCUUCCUCUACCUACCUCCCUCUACCCCGCUCUCCCUACCUCCCUCUCCCCCGCCCCCCCUACCCCACUCUCCCUACCUCCCUCUACCCCACUCACCCUCCCUCCCUCUACCCCACUCUCCCUACCUCCCUCUACCCCACUCUCCCUACCUCCCUCUACCCCACUCUCCCUACCUUCCUCUACCCCACUCUCCCUACCUUCCUCUACCCCACUCUCCCUACCUCCCUCUACCUACCUCCCUCUACCCCGCCUCCCCUACCCCACUCUCCCUACCUCCCUCUACCCCACUCACCCUCCCUCCCUCCCUCUACCCCACUCUCCCUACCUCCCUCUACCCCACUCUCCCUACCCUCCUCUCCCCCACUCUCCCUACCUUCCUCUCCCUACCUCCCUCUACCCCGCUCUCCCUACCUCCCUCUCCCUACCUCCCUCUCCCUACCUCCCUCUCCCUACCUCCCUCUACCCCGCUCUCCCUACCUCCCUCUACCCCGCCACCCCUACCUCCCUCUACCUCGCCCACCCUACCUCCCUCUACCCCGCUCUCCCUACCUCCCUCACCCUACCUCCCUCUACCUCGCUCUCCCUACCUCCCUCACCCUACCUCCCUCUACCUCGCCCGCUCAUCCUACCUAUCUCUACCCCG
rnacentral:lncRNA from 8 species